rnacentral:lncRNA from 1 species
GUGUAUUUUUUGAAUUACAAUAUAGUCGAUUUACAAUUUUAUGCGAAUUUCUGCCAUACAACAAAGCAAUCCAAUCGAUAUAUAUGUAUACAUUCCUUUUCUCAUACUAUCUUCCAUCAUGGUCUAUCCCAAGAGACUGGAUAUAGUUCCCUGUGCUAUACAGUGGGACCUCAUUGCUUAUCUACUCUAAAUGGAAUAGUUUGCAUCUACUAACCUCAAUCUCUCAGUCCAUCUCACUCCCUCCCCUUGGCAAGCACAGGUCUGUUUUCCAUGUCUGUGAGUCUGUUUCUGUUCUGUAGAUAGGUUCAUUGUGUCAUAUUUUAAAUUCCACAUGCAAGGGCUAUCAUAUGGUAUUCAUCUUUCUCUUUCUGACUUACUUCACUUAAUAUGAGAAUCUCUAGUUGCUUCCAUGUUGCUGCAAAUGGCAUCAUUUCAUUCUUUUUUAUGGCUAAGUAGUAUUCCAUUGCAUUUUUGUACUACAUCUUCUUACUCCAUUCAUCUGUCAAUGGACAUUUAGGUUGUUUCCAUGUCUUGGCUAUUGUAAAUAAUCCUGCCAUGAACAUACAGGUACAUGAGUCUUUCUGAAUUGUAGUUUUGUCCAGAUAUAUGCCCAGGAGUGGAAUUGCUGGAUCAUAUGGUAGUUAUGUAUUUAGUUUUCUGAGGAAGCUCCAUACUGUUUUCCAUAGUGGUUGUACCAUUUUACAUUCCCACCAACAGUAUAGGAGGGUUUCCUUUUCUCCACACCCUCUCCAGCAUUUGUUAUGUGUAGACAUUAAUGAUAGCUGUUCUGACCAGUGAGGUGUUGCCUCUUUGUAGUUUUGAUCUGCAUUCUGAUUGGCUGUGUUCUAUCCUCUGCACUAGCACAAAGGAGAUGAGGACACUUACAUGGUUAUCUCCCAGUGAGUGUAGCCAACUGCUUAGAGUUCUUCCAAACAAUAAAAUUUAAAGUGCCAUAUCAUUCUAAUGCCACUUAUCGGUAUUGACUUUAUUAAGCCAUUUCUAGUUAUUAUUAAAACCUACUGAACAUUCAUGUUACUUAAGGAGAGAAUAAAUGGGAGUCCCCAUCGUGGCGCAGUGGUUAAUGAAUCCAACUAGGAACCAUGAGAUUGCGGGUUCUAUGCCUGCCCUUGCUCAGUAGGUUAAGGAUCUGGCAUUGCCGUGAGCUGUGAUAUAGGUCGCAAACAUGGCUUGGAUCCCGCGCUAGGGGUCAGAUCAGAGCUGUAGCUGCCAGCCUGCACCACAGCCAUGUGGAAUCCGAGCUGGGUCUGCGACCUACACCAGAGCUCACAGCAACGCCGGAUCCUUAACCCACUGAGCGAGGCCGGGGAUCGAACCCGCAACCUCUUGGUUCCCAGUCAGAUUUGUUUGCACAGUGCCACGAUGGGAACUCCUCAAAUCUUUUCAAUAAUUUCAUUAUUGCUCUUUCAAGCCUUAGCCUUAAAAAUUCUCAACUUCUAGAAUACUUUAUUGAAAUAACGCCUAUAUUCUAACCAGUUUCCAAAUAGCCAUUUCUUCAGGAUGUGUUCAGCUAUUUAACCUCUGCUUAUAUGCUUUUAGUAAUUGUUUUAUAGUCAUUUUCUUCCUUCCUUCCUUCCUCUUUCCUUCCUUCCUCUUUCUUUCUUUCUUUCUCUCUUUCUUUCAACUGCACUCACAGCAUAUGGACGUUCCCAGACCAGGGAUCGAAUCAGAGCCACAGCUGCAAACCUAUAUGACAACUAUGGCAACACUGGAUCUUUAACCUGCUGAGUCACAAGGGAACUCCUAGAGUCAUUUUCUCACUGACAUUCCUGAGCUGAGGCUAAUUUCCUUAAGUCUUUUCCUUUGAUUACCUACUGCUGCAGGAUUCCCUCAGGUAAGCUGAUGAUUCCAUUUGUUCCUGAGUUUACGGUUGGGAGCUCACCAAAGCUCAUGUCCAAUGUGUGGAAGCUUUGACCUUGAUCUCUAUUUUGGUCAGAGUCCAGGCAGUAAACAGCAAGCUGACUCAAAAGCGUUUGACGAGAGGUGAUGAACCAUUGAGAAUCAUAACCCUAGAAAUGGGCUCACCUCUGCUGCAUUCCAGGCUUAGAGGAAGGUAGCAACUGCUGGAUGCUGAUAGACUUUGACUGACAUGAAUACCCUCCCUGACCUCUCUCUCCUUCCACUCUCCUAUCCUUUACCACUGGCCCAACCCAAAGGAAGCUAGAGAACCAGGCCUUGAGCCACUGGCAGUAGAUGACAGCCUCCCAGGAAAAACAUGGCAAAGGAGGAAGAGAUUGGAUCUGGAGGAGCCAAUGGAGAUGAACCAGCACAAGCUCUGACCCACCAGGGUUACUGGUCCCAGAGCCCCAAGGCUCCAGCCUCUAGUUGGGUGCUAAGACACCUCUUCUUGAUUGUCCAAGAACUUGACUGCUGCCCCUUCUCUGUUGCUUGUGUUGCUCUCUGCUUCCAUGCUUUGUGGCCCUGUUACUUUAGUCCCUGAUGGUCUUUGAUCUUGAUGUCCCUUCCCACUAGCUUUUAUAGCCCUUUAUUGGAGUUAACAAAAGUAAUCUUCUCCUUCCAUUUUCACAGCCUCCUCCACCUGGGAGCACAGACAGGUCCCCUCAGAUUUUCUUCCCCAUCCCUCCAAGUGCCCUGAAAGUGAGGCUAUGGGGGGCAUGCCCCAGCAGCCCUCUCAGAAUCACUUCUUCCAGCUGACAUUCUCUUUGUCCCAGGCUGAGCUGUAAGUCUUUGUACAUUCUCACAGGAAGGGAGAAUUCCUUAUUGGCCAUUUUAUAGUUUCUUUAUUUGAUGUUGGGGCAGCAAUGGGAGGGAGUUCUUAUAAGAGGAACCUUAAUAUUUGGGGACAAUUGAUAAUGGUUUUUUGCUUGUAAUAUAGUGAUGACCAUGGGGGCUACUACCAGCUUCAAUUGGACAUUUUGUCCCAUAGAUAAAGCCUGGUGCUUGUGUUUUGUAUUUCUUUUGUCACUCUCUGGCAAUACAUAUUGGCCUAUUUUAUGUUCAGACCUAAAGGAUUCUUUAUACUGUCAGCCCCUACAGAGUGAGGUAACUUUCUUACAGGCCUAUUUUUUUUUUUUUUUUUUUAACAAUUUAAGGGUAUACUUAUUUCUUUUUUUUCUUUUUCUUUCUUUUUUUUUUUUUUUUUUUUUUUUUUUUGUCUUUUUUCCUUUUCUAGGGCCACUCCCAUGGCAUAUAGAGGUUCCCAAGCUAGGGGUUGAAUCGGAGCUGUAGCUGCCAGCCACAGCCACAGCCACAGCAACACAGGAUCCAAGCCACAUUUGCAACCUACACCACAACUCACAGCAACUCCGGAUCCUUAACCCGAUGAGCAAAGCCAGAGAUCGACCCCCCAACCUCAUGGUUCCUAGUUGGAUUCCUUAACCACUGAGCCAUGAUGGGAACUCCUUAUUUCUUAAUUUGCAACUAUGUUCCAAAUCCUGGAGAUCACCCAAAGUGUGACCUCUGUCAAACGGAAACACUAUUGGCUUCACUGUUACUUUUUCUUGCUCUUUGGUAUCAUCCAAUAGUUAAGAAAUUCUGGAGGUUCCGUGGAGUGUCGAAUUUAAAGGAAUAGACAUAAGGAAUAUUUUCCAAGCAAAUGUGGAUGCAAUGGUUCUCAAACUGUAGUUCCUGAAUCUGCAACAUCAGUACCACCUGGAAACUUGUUAGAAAUGCACAUUCUCAGACCCAGCCCUGACCUACUGAAUCAGACACUCUGAGAACCCUCCAGAAGGUUCUGAUGCAGGUUAAAGUGUAAUAACCACUGGUCUAGUGUACCAAGGGAGGACCAGGAGUAUGUUUUAGUCUGGAUUCUCUUUGGUGUCUAAUUAAUGGGCAUCAUGAUUGAAAGUUGCCUUUGAAUUAGCAUUGCCUUGUUACUUUUGCUUCACUGUUCGAAAAAAGGCCAUGUGGGGCUGCUCUGUGUUCACUCAAUGGUAUCACAAGUAGUUAGCCCACAGAGUCUCGGAAACCAGCUGUGACCAAGGACUAGGAGAACCUCAUCCCGCCCACAGGACUUGGCCAGCACCUCUGGGACUCAUUUUGUAUAUAGUGCUCAGUACAUAUGGGCAAGAUGACCAGACCUUGGUGUUUUUAAGGAUAUGUGGUGACAGUGCCUCUUAGUCAUCCUUGAACGCCCCAGCGAACUGGCCAUUUGCCACAUUCUUAGCACAACCCUCCAAGGCAACUGGAGAGGAAGCUGGGAGCCCUGCCCUAAAAGAGCUUACAAUACACCACACUGUCAAAUCUAUUAAAAAAUGGCAUCCUCCUGAAAGAGGAAAUUUAUGAACCACAUUCCAUAGCUGCCCCAAUAUUUUCAUGCAUCCUAUUGUAUUUACUGCUGUUCUACACCAUGCUGAUUCUCAGGCUUCAAAGGAGGGUAUAUGAAUUGUCCUGAGAAUCCAGCCCUUCCAGAAUGACCUGUCAUCGCCUUCAUGCUUCUGAUGGGCAGCUGCUUUUUUAAUUAGGUUAUUAAAAUUUUUGCUCAACCUCUUAGUCAACUUAACUUGGCUUUAUUUUUAUUUUUUUAUUUUUUUAUUUUUUUUUUUGGUGGAAAGCAAAUCACUUGGCUGGUAAAAUAUGGUUUAAUUGGUUACUUGGCUUAGGGUUUAAUGACUUUUCCAUUAAUGUUUAUUCAACAAAUAUAUUUUAUUUAAUUUUCCCUGAAAUAACCCAGCUGACUCUGAAUGUUCAAGAUGUGUAGAACGCUGGAGAGGAGAUGUGAUCUCAGAAUUUCUAUGACAAUAUGAGGACAGAAAUCAUGGAAGAGACACAGCCUGAAGGCUUGGAGAUUUAGUCUGGGGAUAAGCAAGAUGUGCAAGCAAUCAUAGCAUCCUAUCUUUUUCUCUUGGUUCCUAAUCUCUUAGGUCCUCUAUAUUUCUUUCUUUCUCUCUCCAGUGUCUCAUGUGUAUUUGUGUGUAUGCACAUAUGAGUGUAUGCAUGCCUGUUUGUGUGUGUUUGUAUAUUAUACCUUGUGCAAAAUAUAAUAAUGGCAUUUACUACAGUUUUAAAAAAAUGGUAAAAAAAAAAAA